rnacentral:rRNA from 1 species
CGGCGAGUGAAGCGGGAUCAGCCCAGCACCGAAUCCCCCGGCAUCUCGCCGGCGGGAACUGUGGUGUAUGGGACGCCAACUGUCGUCUCCGCCGGUGGCCGAAGUCCUCCUGAUCGGGGCCUCUCCCAGAGCGGGUGUCAGGCCUUUACUGGCCGCUGGCGGGUCGGCUGCGAGCGUCUCCGGAGUCGGGUUGUUUGGGAAUGCAGCCCUAAGCGGGUGGUAAACUCCAUCUAAGGCUAAAUACUGGCACGAGUCCGAUAGCGGACAAGUACCGUGA